UGGGGAAUAUUGGACAAUGGGGGCAACCCUGAUCCAGCCAUGCCGCGUGAAUGAUGAAGGCCUUCGGGUUGUAAAGUUCUUUUGGUGGGGACGAUGAUGACGGUACCCACAGAAUAAGCUCCGGCUAACUUCGUGCCAGCAGCCGCGGUAAUACGAAGGGUGCUAGCGUUGUUCGGAAUUACUGGGCGUAAAGGGCGCGUAGGCGGUUUAACAAGUUGGGUGUGAAAGCCCAGGGCUCAACCCUGGAACUGCACUCAAGACUGUUUUACUUGAAUUCGGUAGAGGUUGGUGGAAUUCCCAGUGUAGAGGUGAAAUUCGUAGAUAUUGGGAAGAAUAUCCGUGGCGAAGGCGGCCAACUGGACCGACAUUGACGCUGAGGCGCGAAAGCGUGGGGAGCAAACAGGAUUAGAUACCCCUGUAGUCC
rnacentral:rRNA from 1 species